rnacentral:tRNA from 1 species
GAGCAGCUAGCUCAGUGGUAGAGCGUGCGUCUCAUGAACGCUUGGCCAGUAGUUCGAAUCUACUGCUGCUCU